UAGGAAAAUGCUCGCUGGUUUGGGCGCUUAGCUGUUAACUAAGAUUUCGUGGGAUCGAGGCCCAUUUUUCUAG
rnacentral:tRNA from 1 species